GAUGAAGAACGUAGCGAAAUGCGAUAAGUAAUGUGAAUUGCAGAAUUCAGUGAAUCAUCGAAUCUUUGAACGCACAUUGCGCCCGCCGGCACUCCGGCGGGCAUGCCUGUCCGAGCGUCAUUUCAACCCUCAGGCCCGAACCCCCCCGGGGGGGGCGGGCCUGGUGUUGGGGCUCGGGGUCCGCGAGGCCCCCGUCCCCUAAAUCCAGUGGCGGUCGCGCCGCACCCUCCCCUGCGUAGUAGCACACCUCGCACCGGAGAGCAGCGCGUCCACGCCGGGAAACCCCCAACUUACCAAGGUUGACCUCGGAUCAGGUAGGAAUACCCGCUGAACUUAAGCAUAUCAAUAAGCGGAGGA
rnacentral:misc_RNA from 1 species